rnacentral:rRNA from 1 species
UACGAACCGUCCAAACGUUAUUCGGAAUUAUUGGGCUUAAAGGGCUUGUAGGCGGCCAACUAAGUCAUACGUGAAAUCCCUCGGCUUAACCGGGGAACUGCGUCUGAUACUGGAUGGCUUGAGAUUGGGAGAGGGAUGCGGAAUUCCAGGUGUAGCGGUGAAAUGCGUAGAUAUCUGGAGGAACACCGGUGGCGAAGGCGGCAUCCUGGACCAACACUGACGCUGAGGAGCGAAAGCCAGGGGAGCAAACGGG